rnacentral:pre_miRNA from 1 species
UACAAUGUUUUGACUCUUUAUCUUAUUUAAAAAUUUCUUACUAUUAAUAUUUUUUUCAUUACUAAAUGAUAAAAUAUGAAUAGUACUUUACGCGUGACUAAUUUUUAUAAGUUUUUAUAGAAAAUUUUCAAAUAAGAUGAAUGAUCAAACAUUGGACAC